AGUAAAGUAAGAAAAGCAUUUUUGUAGUGUGUAUUUUUUAUGAUGGCAGUAAUUCUUAAAUGACUAUUGUAAUGGGGUAAGCAAAUAUAGUCUGUGCUUUUGGUUUUAUUUUAGUGAAUUUAAAAUAAAAUCAUUACUUUUGUUUUUAGAUUGUAAUGUUACCAUGUUAGAAUGUAAUGUGAUUUUUUUUUUUGCACAUAAUAUAUAGAAUUGCCUGCAUUACAUUCACUAGGCUAUAUUUGUUUUCAUAGCCUUCAAUAUGAACAUUGUUUGUAGGAUGUGAAAGAACUUUUUUUUUUUUUUUUUUAUCCAAAUAGAAAAAAGUAGAAAAUACCGCCAGUUAGCAUUAGCCGUUACGCUUUUUUAGCUAAAGGUUGCAGGCUUGCAUUCCAGUGGCUUUGGAUACGCUCAAAUAGGGUUAAAACUUAUAUUUAGGUUGGUCAGGCAAAUGCGCAUGUGCAAUCCCAUGCGCAAGUAAACCCGCGCGCGGCAAGAGCGUGAAUCGAAUUCAAACGGUCAUUUAACUUAAACACUGUUUAGCAAGAUAAGUAAAUCUUCAAAACAUGUACUUUGAGGAACCAGAAGAGGAAUCUUAUGAUCCGUUGUUUCUUCCGUUAUCGGAAUUGGGAUCUAAACGGCGAGACCGGCAGUUCCUCCGCAUCGUGGGCAAGGUGUUAAGACUCGACUGGCUUAAACGCAAGACGCUUGAAGAACGUCAAUCCACUAUCCAACGUCUGAUGCCCUCUUUUGCCAGGAGAUGCAUAGAUAACAACGACUUCCUGUCUUUACAGGAGAUUCUCAAUUAUAUGGAUAUAGAUGCUGCAGAUUAUGAUGGCAACACCGUCUUGCACAGAGCCUGUGAAAAAGGCAACAACGACAUGGUAUUGCAGUUACUGGCUCUUGGAGCCUCAUGCCAAAUGACAAACCGCUUUGGUUCCACACCUCUGCAUCUUGCCAUAAAAAAAAAGCACGAUGACGUGAUCAAGAUUUUGAUGCUGCAGGGAGCCACAGUAACACUACACCCUGUGCGAAUCGGCAUGGAACUUAUCAAGGCAGUUCAGGCCAAGGACUACAGGCUGGUGCAUGCAUGGUACUUAGCUGGUACAAACAUGAACCAGCAUGAUUACAACGGACAGACUGCUUUACAUGCAGCAGUGGAGAAGAGGGACAAGCUCAUGGUCUCUAAGCUUCUUCAGUAUGGUGCUACCCCAGAGGUAUAAUAAAAGUAGAUUUUUGUUAACAUAUAAUGUACACAUAUUCUGUUUUUUACUAUUCUAAUUGGUUGCACUAACAAGUCAAAUAUUUAACCCUAAUGCUCUACUCAUGUAGCUGUAGCACUCCCUUACUUAU